UUUCCGUAGGUGAACCUGCGGAAGGAUCAUUAGUGAAUUGAAUAUGUUAGCGGACCUCUUCGGAGUCCCUAGCAUCAAAUCAUAUCCAUAACACCUGUGAACUGUAAGGCUGUCUUGAAAACGAAAGUGAUUAGAGCGCCUGCCCAUUUUAUACAAACAUUAAAGUAACAAACGUAGUCUUAUAUAAUCUAAUAAAACUUUCAACAACGGAUCUCUUGGCUCUC
rnacentral:misc_RNA from 1 species